ensembl:lncRNA
GGGUCAGAGAGAGGAGGUGGGAGCAGGGUCAGAGAGAGGAGGGGGCAGCAGGGUCAGAGAGAGGAGGGGGAGCAGGGUCAGAGAGAUGAGGGGGGCUGGUCAGAAUAGGAAAGAACCGAGAGAAUGCUUGUCUUCUGUCAUACAGAGACAAAAUCAGAAUAACCAGAUUAACACUUUAAUAAACUCAGUUAUAGUUGAGUGUAAGACUGGUGUUUUGUCCAAUGGUAUAACACCAGAUUACCUGAACCUAGCCCUAACCCACAAGUCAGCAGGAUGGACGUUACCCCGGCAACAAGACAGGAAGAGCCACACCCACCAGGGUUGCCAUGGUGGCUUGAUACGCCGACUCGCUAUAGGUAGGUGGGAGAAGGAGCUUUGUGUGUUUCAAGUGUUGCUGGGACGUUUAUUGUACAAAACAAUACAACGUCACAACGUGAUAUCAACCUAUCAACACUAUGGAAACAAAAGACUCUGGAGAGGAGACCAGACACCAGAACUACCUACCUACCUAUCUACACAUACCGCAUAUAUAUAUAUAUAUAUAUAUAUAUAUAUAUAUAUAUAUAUAUAUAUAUAUAUAUAUAUAUAAAACACCAACAUUUCAUCACUGACUCUGUGAUGCCAACGAAAUGUGAGAUGAUGCUGACGAAGAUGCUGAUGAAGAAAAGAGGAAGAAUGAAAAUGUUUGCAGUUUAAACUCUAUGGGGAAAUUGUUGCACGUUGAAUUAUCUUACUCCAUGUGUUGCUAACAGAGCAGAGACUACAGGAGUUACUCCUAAACCCAGCACAGCCAUAACCUACCACCUGACCUACCAACUGGGUUUAUAAUAAACUACCACCUGACCUACCAACUGGGUUUAUAAUAAACUACCACCUGACCUACCACCUGACCUACCAACUGGGUUUAUAAUAAUCUACCACCUGACCUACCACCUGACCUACCAACUGGGUUUAUAAUAAACUACCACCUGACCUACCAACUGGGUUUAUAAUAAUCUACCAUCUGACCUACCAACUGGGUUUAUAAUAAUCUACCACCUGACCUACCAACUGGGUUUAUAAUAAUCUACCACCUGACCUACCACCUGACCUACCAACUGGGUUUAUAAUAAACUACCACCUGACCUACCAACUGGGUUUAUAAUAAACUACCACCUGACCUACCAACUGGGUUUAUAAUAAACUACCACCUGACCUACCACCUGACCUACCAACUGGGUUUAUAAUAAACUACCACCUGACCUACCAACUGGGUUUAUAAUAAACUACCACCUGACCUACCAACUGGGUUUAUAAUAAACUACCAUCUGACCUACCAACUGGGUUUAUAAUAAACUACCACCUGACCUACCAACUGGGUUUACAAUAAACUACCACCUGGUUUAUUCACUUCAACGUAAUAUACUUCCUUUACGCCCAUCAGACCAUUAUUACUGGGCUUAAUAAUGACAGACAGACAACACAUAACAACUGGAUCAGUACAUGGUGGUCCUCUGUAGCCCCAUUGGUAGAGCAUGGCACUUGCAACACCAGGAUUGUGGGUUCAAUUCCCGCUGGGGUCACCCAUAAGUUAAAAAGUGUGUUGCUUUGGGUAGAAGCAUCUGAGAAAUGGCAUAUAUUGUUAUUGCAAGAUCAUUUAUCAAUCAUCAAUAACAAGAUGGGACAGAUACAGGACACGUAACAACUGAAUUUGUACCCAAUCAACCUUCCCUCACCUCCCAACACACAGCAGAUACUGACCAACUGAGGUGUGACUGGGCUACAGUGUCUCUGAGAGGCCGGGUGGUGUGUUUGUGUCGGGGUGCGGUUUAGUGAGUGACCCUGCUGUAAAAGGCAGGAUAUGUUCCCCUGCCACAGGCCCAGCCCUGUUUUACAGCCUGUGCUAUAGACAUUACAUGUACGACUGACUGUACCUGCUCUGAUGAGUGUUUUAUAUCAACAAUGUCUGUAAAAUAAUCCAAAACUGAAUAUUACGUGUUAUCAUGUGUUUCUAUAGCGAUAGAGCUGUUCAUGAUGCCAUUGGCUAAGAGAAUUUGAGUUAAUUUACUGUCAUUGGCCCUCCCUCUCCGUGCAUCCUGUUGCUUCACCUCAUUGGUUGAUUGUCCCGCCCGUUGUCCAGGUGAUCAACCCCAGCCAGGCAGGUGUGUGUGUGUGUGUGUGUGUGUGUGUGUGUGUGUGUGUGGGUGUGGGUGGGUGUGGGUGUGGGUGUGGGGUGUGUGUGUGUGUGUGUGUGUGUGAGUGCGGGCGAUGUGGAGAAGGUUGAGGGGGUGAGUAUGAAGUCAUUCAGAGCGUGUAAGACUGUAUGUGUCUUAAAUGGCACCCUUUUCCUCUAAAAGUGCAUGACUUUAGACCAGAGGCCUAUGAUCUACGUGGCUCUGGUCAAAAGUAGUGCACAGGCUGCCAUUUGAGACACGGGCUAACUGUAGGAACAAAGCAGAUAGAAAUUCACUGUCCAGAACGGGCAGAACUCUCCAUUGUUUCUGAUCUGCUCAUUGUAUUUGUAUCUGCUGUCAGUGAACUCCCCCAGGUCAUCCAAGCAAUAUUGCCAGCCAAUCACAUGGUUGCAUGGGAAUCAGACUGUGAGCGGGACAUAAAUCAUUAAAGAAAAAGUAGUAAAUAAACGGAAAAAUGUAACUAAUUAUUUCCCUCUCUCCAACUCUUUAUCUUUCCAUAUAUCUCUAUUUCUCUCUGUUCCUCUCCCUGUAGUCUACCCCUUCUCUCCCUCUAGUCUACCCCCUCUCCCCUGUAGUCUACCCCUUCUCUCCCUGUAGUCUACCCCCUCUCUCCCUGUAGUCUACCCCCUCUCUCCCUCUAGUCUACCCCUUCUCUCCCUGUAGUCUACCCCUCUCUCCCUCUAGUCUACCCCCUCUCUUCUCCCUCUAGUCUAUCCCUUCUCUUCUCUCCCUCUAGUCUAUCCCUCUCCCUCUAGUCUACCCCUUCUCUCCUCCCUGUAGUCUACCCCUUCUCUCCCUCUAGUCUACCCCCUCUCUCCCUCUAGUCUACCCCUUCUCUUCUCUCCCUCUAGUCUAACCCUUCUCUUCUCUCCCUCUAGUCUAUCCCCUCUCCCUCUAGUCUACCCCUUCUCUUCUCUCCCUCUAGUCUACCCCUCUCUUCCUCUCUCCCUCUAGUCUAACCCUUCUCUUCUCUCCCUCUAGUCUACCCCCUCUCUUCCUCUCUCCCUCUAGUCUACCCCUUCUCUUCUCUCCCUCUAGUCUACCCCUCUCUUCCUCUCUCCCUCUAGUCUACCCCUCUCUUCCUCUCUCCCUCUAGUCUACCCCUCUCUUCCUCUCUCCCUCUAGUCUACCCCUCUCUUCCUCUCUUCCGUCUCCUCUAUGCUCUAUAUCUGAAGUAAAGAAGAAGCAUUGAGCUGUGGUAUUGUUCAUAAAACUGUUUGUUUAGCCUUUUAAUUUUAUACAUUUUCUACCGUAUUUUACUUUUAUUUUUAUUGUUGCAGUUCUUUGAAGAACAUAAAGCGGACAUUUAUUAUGAAAAAUAGUUUUGAAGAUCUAACGAGUCAAUAAAAUAUUACCCAAGUGAAGUUACCCUGAUUUCUAUUCUAAAAUAUUAAAAUAAGUGCAGUUAUUUUUAUACAUUUCCUGCAAAACACUCAUUUCUUUAUCUC